AUGUUGCACAUUAAGGGACGGGUGAGAAACCUCGACAGGGUUCGACAACAGGCUUCAGCCUGUUGGACAGCGAUGGCAUUUAUGAUAGCGCUGCCCGAAGGGCGAGUCCUCCGGACGAGUCAAUCCCUCCCUCACCGCCA
rnacentral:sRNA from 1 species